GACGAACGCUGGCGGCGUGCUUAACACAUGCAAGUCGAACGGUGAAGCGCCUUCCUUUUUGGUUGGUGUGGAUGAGUGGCGAACGGGUGGGUAACACGAUAGUAACCUUCCCCCUUCUUCUGGAUAACCGCAUGAAAGUGUUGCUAAUACGGGAUAUUCUGCGUCUGUCGCAUGAUGGGUCUGGGACGGUUAUUGUUUCGGUGGUGGAUGGGUUCGCGCUCUAUCAGCUUGUUGGUGGGGUGACGGCCUACCAAGGCGGUGAGGGGUAGCCGGCCUGAGAGGGUGGGCGGCCACAGUGGGGAUGAGCGGCGGAGCAGACUGCGACAGGCGGCAGCAGUGGAGAGUAGGGAACGGUGGGGACAAGGCUGAUGCAGCGGCGCGGCGGGAGGGAUGGAGGCCGUCGGGUUAUGAACCUCUUUCGGGAGUGAAGCGGGCUUGCCUCGGUUGUGGGUGGGUUGACGGUAGCUGGUUAAGAAGCGCCGGCUAACUACGUG
rnacentral:rRNA from 1 species